GUUCCUGUGGUUUUAUGUGUCUUUGUUUGUGGAUGGUGAUUUAUUGUUCC
rnacentral:tRNA from 1 species